rnacentral:rRNA from 1 species
UACGUAGGGCGCGAGCGUUGUCCGGAAUCAUUGGGCGUAAAGAGCUCGUAGGCGGCCUGUCGCGUCUGCUGUGAAAUCCCGGGGCUUAACCCCGGGCGUGCAGUGGAUACGGGCUGGCUGGAGGCAGGCAGGGGAGAACGGAAUUCCCGGUGUAGCGGUGAAAUGCGCAGAUAUCAGGAAGAAUAUCCGUGGCGAAGGCGGCUCUCUGGGACGGUACUGACGCUGAGACGCGAAAGCGUGGGGAGCGAACAGG